rnacentral:lncRNA from 1 species
CGUCCGUUUGGCUGUGCGGGAUGUAUCAAGUUCGCAGUCACGUCCGGUCAGAAGGGUGACGUUGAAUCCGAUGCCUCGCGUAAAGAGAGUGCCACGCUCUUUGCACGUUAAGAACCCUUGCAACAACUCUUUGAGGGGUCCGUAGGUGGCCUGUUGCAAGGCAAAAUUUCUGUCCCUAUCCAAUAUACCUCAUUUUCCAGUGGCAGUCCAAAUUUCCCCGACUAUCAUCCCAGAUGGCCUCUAAUAUUUCAAGACCUACC